UCUUUGACUUUGUAAUGCUGUCAUUUUAUUUUGGAGAAAAUUUACCCCCAAAUAUUGCAACACACGCAGUCAUAUUAUGUUUAAUUAUAUAGCUUUGACUCUGUAAAGAUGUCAUCUUGCGUUGGAGGAAAUUUACCCCAAAGAAUAGCAGCACAUCUUAUUUCUGUAUAUUUUUAUGGCUUCGACUCUGUAAAGAUGUCAUCUUGUGUUGGAGGAAAUUUACCCCAAAGAAUAGCAACACAGCUUUUUCUGUAUAGUUUUGUAUAUUGUUAUGGCUUCGACUUUGUAUAUAUGUCAUCUUGAGUUGGAGGAAAUUUACCCCCAAAAAUUGCAACAACGUCAGUUUUUUGUUUAUUUGUAUGGCUUUGAGAUUGUUUAGAUAUUUUCUUCUGUUGGGGGGAAAUUUACUCCCAAAGAAUUGAAACAGAGUCAUUUUUUGGGGGGUAAGGCUUCGAGAUUGUUAAGAUGUUGUCUUGUGUUGGGGGAAAUUUACCCUCAAAGAAUUGUAACACAGUCAUUUUCUGUUUAUUUGUUAGAGUUCGACUUUUUUGUUUCUUAUUAGGUCUUUGACUUUGUAAAGAUGUCAUCUUGUUUUUGAGGAAAUUUACCCCCAAAUAUUGCAACACACGCAGUCGUUUUAUGUUUAUUUAUAUGGCUUUGACUCUGUAAAGAUGUCAUCUUGCGUUGGAGGAAAUUUACCCUAAAGAAUAGCAGCACAGCUUAUUUCUGUAUAUUUUUAUGGCUUCGACUCUGUAAAGAUGUCAUCUUGUGUUGGAGGAAAUUUACCCCAAAGAAUAGCAACACAGCUUUUUCUGUAUAGUUUUGUAUAUUUUUAUGGCUUCGACUUUGUAUAGAUGUCAUCUUGUGUUGGAGGAAAUUAACCCCCAAAAAUUGCAACACAGUCAUUUUUAUGUUUAUUUGUAUGGCUUAGAGAUUGUUUAGAUAUUUUCUUCUGUUGGUGGGGAAAUUUACUCCCAAAGAAUUGUAACAGAGUCAUUUUUUGGGGGGUAAGGGUUCGAGAUUGUUAAGAUGUUGUCUUGUGUGGGGGGAAAUUUACCCUCAAAGAAUUGUUACACAGUCAUUUUCUGUUUAUUUGUUAGGGUUCGACUUUCUAAAAAUGUCAUUUUGUAUUUUGGGUAAUAUACCCUCAAAUACUUGAAACAGUUAUACCUGUAUAGAUUUUAAGACUGCAAGUUUGUAAAGACGAUGUUUUAUCUUGGGGAUAAAUUUACCCAAACAGAGUAGCAGAUAUUCCAUUGUCGAAUUUUACUAAGACUUACAUGUACAAAAACUGCAUUGUAUUUGGGGGUAAAUUUACUCUGUAGAAAAAUAACAAUUUUAUUGUAUCUAGCAUUUAAAAAUAUACUGUAUAUUUUUAGGAUAUACCACACAGCUUUAUUUUCACCAAUAAUUGCUAAAGCAAUUGUCUUUUACUUGUAUAUUCUACUAACACCCUGUUUAAAUUUUAAAUCCAAAGUAGAGAGAUGCUUUGUUAGUUUUUGGGGGUAAAUUUCCACUCUGAAGAGUUUCUUGUUACGUGUGUCCUCUCUGUGUUAUGUGGAAAAUAAAGCUUAAAUUGUC
rnacentral:sRNA from 1 species